CCUACGGGUGGCAGCAGUGGGGAAUAUUGGACAAUGGGGGGAACCCUGAUCCAGCCAUGCCGCGUGUGUGAAGAAGGCCCUCGGGUUGUAAAGCACUUUCAGUGAGGAAGAACGCCUGGUGGUUAAUACCCAUCAGGAAAGACAUCACUCACAGAAGAAGCACCGGCUAACUCCGUGCCAGCAGCCGCGGUAAUACGGAGGGUGCGAGCGUUAAUCGGAAUUACUGGGCGUAAAGCGCGCGUAGGUGGCUUGAUAAGCCGGUUGUGAAAGCCCCGGGCUCAACCUGGGAACGGCAUCCGGAACUGUCAAGCUAGAGUGCAGGAGAGGAAGGUAGAAUUCCCAGUGUAGCGGUGAAAUGCGUAGAGAUCAGGAGGAAUACCAGUGGCGAAGGCGGCCUUCUGGACUGACACUGACACUGAGGUGCGAAAGCGUGGGUAGCAAACAGGAUUAGAUACCCGUGUAGUC
rnacentral:rRNA from 1 species